AUGGACUUGGGGAUCAGUUGGCUUUUCCUUGCCAUCAUUUUAAAUGGUGUCCAGUGUGAAGUGCAGUUGCUGGAGUCUGGGGGAGACUUAGUGCAGCCUGGAAAGUCUCUAAAACUCUCCUGUGCAGCCUCUGGAUUCACCUUCAGUAAUUAUUACAUGCACUGGGUCCGCCAGGCUCCAGGAAAGGGACUGGAGUGGGUAGGAGCGAUUAAUAAAAAUGGUGGUAGCACCUGGUAUACCGACGCUGUGAAGGGCCGGUUCACAAUCUCCAGAGACAAUGCCAAGAACACUCUGUACCUGGAAAUGAGCAGUCUGAGGUCUGAAGACACAGCCAUGUAUUACUGUGCAAGAGUCACAGUGAGUGAAUGCUCCUGUGAGCUCAGACAAAAACACCCCUGUGGGGAACACGGGACCAGCAGGGGGCUCUGA